CCUGUGGGCAUGAUUGCCGGCGACGGGUGUCGCCGGAUUUUAUUGGAAAAGAGAACCCCCUGUCCGGCCUCUUCUUUUCUCUGAUUUUCGGCACCGACGGUCACCACCGACCGUCGGUACGGGCCCUCCGAACUCGGAGGAAGGCCGUUCUUGCCGCCGGCCACCGUCGGACGGGGAAUGGCCGUGAUUGGUCGGUCAAGGCACGGGGACCUCUAGGUCCCCUGUUUCGGCCCAAUGGAAGCCCGGGAAGAAGGAAAAAGAAAAAGAAAAGAAAAAGGAAAAAGAAAAAGAAAAAGAAAAAGAAAAAGGAAAAAGAAAA
rnacentral:lncRNA from 1 species